CUUGGAGCACAUUAUAAUAUGGAAAAUACUUCCGGUUCAGUGUUAAUAGACGGAAGCUACAAUGGAAGGAAUGCCAGUCUUUUUGGAAGUCCUAGUAUAGUGGAAAGUUCAACAGACUUCAAACGUUACGAUCUUGCAAACAACUAGCAAGUGGAAAGAAGAUGAUAU